GAUCCUGGCUCAGAUUGAACGCUGGCGGCAGGCCUAACACAUGCAAGUCGAACGGUAACAGGAAGAAGCUUGCUUCUUUGCUGACGAGUGGCGGACGGGUGAGUAAUGUCUGGGAAACUGCCUGAUGGAGGGGGAUAACUACUGGAAACGGUAGCUAAUACCGCAUAACGUCGCAAGACCAAAGAGGGGGACCUUCGGGCCUCUUGCCAUCGGAUGUGCCCAGAUGGGAUUAGCUUGUUGGUGGGUAACGG
rnacentral:rRNA from 1 species